GAACGAACGCUGGCGGCGUGGAUUAGGCAUGCAAGUCGAGCGAGAAAGGGGGAGCAAUCCCCUGAGUAAAGCGGCGAACGGGUGAGUAACAGGUGGGCAAUGUGCCCCGAAGUGGGGGAUAACUCCGAGAAAUCGGAGCUAAUACCGCAUGUGGCCCCGGGGACCCCGGUUCCUGGGGCUAAAGGCCGGCUCCGCAAGGAGCAAGUCGCUUUGGGAUCGG
rnacentral:rRNA from 1 species